CAGAGAGUUCCGCUGAUCUGUCACUCUUUUACUCACUCGUUCACUCAUUUACCAAUUACUCCAUUCAUCAGCCCAUCGCUGAUCACCUCCUGAGCUCCCGGCUGUGAGUGUACAGCCUCGUAACUCACGGUCCGUCCCUCCCUUCGUGGUUUGGACCCUCAGAGCCAAGCGAGGGAAGAUGGACAGGUAGAGAGGAGAGGAGGCACAGGGGGCUGAGGAAAUCCAGCCAGGUGUCUAGAAAAGCAUCUGUGGCCCUUCAGUCAGUUCAAACCUCCUUUCUUGACCCUACAGAAACCGGAGUGGGAAGAGGCCCGAAUCAAGACGUUUUGCCUCUUUCUUUAUCCAGAGCGCAAACUCCCUAAGCCAGGUGGCCUCACAAGCAUACAGCCAGUUUCCAAAGGGCACAGGAUCCGGCAGAAGGAUGACUAAUGCACCUGGGCGGUGUUGCUGUUUGCUCAGGAGGUCAGCUGUGGACACCGCAGGGAGACGCUUCGCCAGGUCUGCUCGACUUGUGCUGUCCUGCCGGCUCUCUUGUCCUGCAACCAAGGGGUCCCGUUCACUGAAAAGGCAAAGAGCCCUUAUCUCUCCCUGGGGCUGCUUUGGAGCCUGCUUUCCCGGCAGCUGGAGACUGGGCAGACGAAGUGUUGCAUCGAGGCAGGAAUUAGCUGUCUUUCAAGAGAGGAAGGGCACUCUGUGCUCUUGAAGGUUCAGCCUAUGCCGUCCCUCAUUACUGCGGGCCUCGUUAUAACGUACACAGGAACGUUGCGCUGCUGUUUUUAUUGAGAUAUCAUUGAUGACUCAGAGAGGAAGGCUUUGGGGACAGCUACUGUGAUCUUGCCUGCAGGGUGAAUCUUUCCUGCUACCAACUAUUGGACACAAGGGGGCUCCACGGCAGACAAGAGGAGCCAAGAGGGGACUGGGACUCUCACAAUCCAGAUUUCCAGAAGUCCAGAUGUCUAGGGGCACGCCUGUGUGGUGGGGGGGUUAAGGAUGUCAUCUGUCCUGCCCCCUUUCCCAGGACCACCCUGGCUAAGAACAGGAGAAGGCCCUGCUCUGCCCUUCCUCAAGCUGUGUGCCUACCCACAGGGGAAAGAGCGCAUACACCCACCCCGUUGUGGGUUGAAUUGUGUCCCCUCCAAAAGAUAUGCUGACAUCCUAACCCGCAGUACUUCAGAAUGCGACUUCAUUUGGAAAUAGGGUUGUUGUAGAUGUAAUUAGUUAACAUGAGACACAGACACGCGAGGGGAGAAUGCCAUGGAAAGACAGAAACAGAGGCUGACGUGCUGCCGCUACAAGGCAAGGAAUACCGGUGAUGGCCGGCAAAUCACCAGAAACCAGGCAGAGGCAAGGAAGGAGUCUCCCAGACAGGUUUCAGAGGGAGUUUUACUUUAUGGUGCCCUCCAAGUCUAUCUUCUUUUUGUUAUUCCUCAGCUUUUAGGACAGAACUGUUGGAAGGUUCUGGCUGCUGUAACAGCUUAGCGGCACAGGGGCAAUCAAUGGCCGCCGUUGAAGAGGGAGCAGUGCCACCCUGAGGCCGGGGUGGGCAUGGCAGCAGGGAUCACUGAGCACCGCCCAGGGGCCAACCUCUGAGGAGGCUGACGCAUCAGACAGCCCCUCCCUGAUCCCUUGGCCACAGCUACAUCAGAGAUUCUGUUUAUUUUCUUACCAAAAAUGGCAUUUUCCUCACAGAAGCUCCCCAGGGA
rnacentral:lncRNA from 1 species